rnacentral:misc_RNA from 1 species
AACGCACGAGACCUGCGGACCUGCGGAAGGAUCAUUACCGAGUUGGGGUAGUCAUUCACUGCCCGACCUCCCAACCCUGUGUCUACCACACUUUGUCGUUGCUUCGGCGGACCGGUUGACCAACUGGUCGUGACCGCCGGGGGCUGGCUCUGUCCCCCCUGGAGAGCGUCCGCCGAUGGCCCAACCACAAAAACUCUUGUACCGAAACGUGUCGUCUGAAUUAUAUUUUGAGAAAUCAAA